rnacentral:rRNA from 1 species
GACGAACGCUGGCGGCGUGCUUAACACAUGCAAGUCGAACGAUGAAGCCGGAGCUUGCUCCGGUGGAUCAGUGGCGAACGGGUGAGUAACACGUGAGCAAUCUGCCCUUGACUCUGGGAUAACUGCGGGAAACUGUAGCUAAUACCGGAUACGACACCUUGGGGCAUCCCAGGGUGUGGAAAGAAUUUCGGUCAAGGAUGAGCUCGCGGCCUAUCAGCUAGUUGGUGAGGUAAUGGCUCACCAAGGCGACGGCGGGUAGCCGGCCUGGGAGGGUAGCCGGCCACACUGGAACUGAGACACGGGCCAGCCUCCUACGGGAGGCAGCAGUGGGGAAUAUUGCACAAUGGGCGAAAGCCUGAUGCAGCAACGCCGGGUGAGGGAUGAAGGCCUUCGGGUUGUAAACCUCUUUUAGCAGGGAAGAAGCGAAAGUGACGGUACCUGCAGAAAAAGCACCGGCUAACUACGUGCCAGCAGCCGCCGUAA